rnacentral:rRNA from 2 species
AGGUGCGAUCAUACCAGCAUUAAUGCACCAGAUCCAAUCAGAACUCCGCAUUUAAGCUUUCUUUAGCGAGAGUAGUAGUACGAUGGGUGACCACCUAGGAAAUCCUCAUGUUGCACCUC